UUCCUUUCUAACUGGAUCCAAAGUAAGGACCCGGUCCUCAGUCCAAAAUAGCUUGUUUGUUUUUCCCUUCUCCAUCCUUGGACUCGGUCCAAAUGAAGGACUCGGUCCCUAAUUUUGUGAUGAUUCGGUCCUUCAUUGAAACUCUCAUGACUGGGUCUAUCUCCUUUAUGCUCUUUGCCGUUUCCCUUGACAUAUCGUUCUUCCCUUACAUAUCGCUCAAGAACCCUUCUCUCACGUGGUUUCAACUCUCUCCCAAAUCGGUUCCCCUCAUCAAUUUCAACUAACAGGCGUCUCUUUUUCGUUCAAGGAAUAUGGGAUCAAGAAAUCCUAGCAUUAAGAGAUCAUUAUCAAGCAAAACAUUAAAGCUGAUCUAGAUUGGUUGAUUAAGGAACCUGUUUAGCUGCUGAUUUAUCUACUUGGGGUUUAAAGGAUGGAACAAUUUUGAUGAUCUAUAAUAACGAAGACAAAUUGUUGGCAUGCUCUCCACAGAUAAGAACAAUUGACUACACUGAUGAUUUAGUAGAUCUUAAUAAUGUUUUAUUAGCCUGUCUUAUGUGAUUGAUUAUUGUGUAUUGCUUAUAAAUAUAAAAUUUUGAUUGCUUUUAAAUGAUUAUGGUUUUCAUUUUCAGAGGUUUUAACUUGCAA